CUACGGGGCGCUGCAGGGAAGAAUAUUGUACAAUGGGGGCAACCCUGAUACAGCAACGCCGCGUGAAGGAAGAAGGCCUUCGGGUUGUAAACUUCUGUGACAGAGGACGAAGAAGAUGACGGUACUCUGAGAGGAAGCUCCGGCAAACUACGUGCCAGCAGCCGCGGUAAUACGUAGGGGGCGAGCAUUGUCCGGAAUCACUGGGCGUAAAGGGCGCGUAGGCGGCCUGUUAAGUUGAAUGUGAAAUCCCAGGGCUCAACCCUGGACGUGCAUUCAAAACUGGCGGGCUUGAGUAUGGUAGAGGAAAGUGGAAUUCCUAGUGUAGCGGUGGAAUGCGUAGAUAUUAGGAGGAACACCAGUGGCGAAGGCGACUUUCUGGGCCAAAACUGACGCUGAGGCGCGAAAGCGUGGGGAGCAAACAGGAUUAGAUACCCCGGUAGUC
rnacentral:rRNA from 1 species